GAGUGGCGAACGGGUGAGUAACACGUGGGUGAUCUGCCCCUGACUUUGGGAUAAGCCUGGGAAACUGGGUCUAAUACCGAAUAUUCAUUUUUCCUCGCAUGGGGAUUGGUGGAAAGCUUUUGCGGUUGGGGAUGGGCCCGCGGCCUAUCAGCUUGUUGGUGGGGUAAUGGCCUACCAAGGCGACGACGGGUAGCCGACCUGAGAGGGUGAUCGGCCACACUGGGACUGAGACACGGCCCAGACUCCUACGGGAGGCAGCAGUGGGGAAUAUUGCACAAUGGGCGCAAGCCUGAUGCAGCGACGCCGCGUGAGGGAUGACGGCCUUCGGGUUGUAAACCUCUUUCAGCUCCGACGAAGCGCAAGUGACGGUAGGAGCAGAAGAAGCACCGGCCAACUACGUGCCAGCAGCCGCGGUAAUACGUAGGGUGCAAGCGUUGUCCGGAAUUACUGGGCGUAAAGAGCUCGUAGGCGGUUUGUCGCGUCGUCUGUGAAAUUCUGCAGCUUAACUGCAGGCGUGCAGGCGAUACGGGCAGACUUGAGUACUACAGGGGAGACUGGAAUUCCUGGUGUAGCGGUGAAAUGCGCAGAUAUCAGGAGGAACACCGGUGGCGAAGGCGGGUCUCUGGGUAGUAACUGACGCUGAGGAGCGAAAGCGUGGGUAGCGAACAGGAUUAGAUACCCUGGUAGUCCACGCCGUAAACGGUGGGUACUAGGUGUGGGUUUCAUUUCACGGAAUCCGUGCCGUAGCUAACGCA
rnacentral:rRNA from 1 species